GGAUGAAUGACUGAGAGGUCGAAGUGCUAGUCUUGAAAACUAGUUGAUGCAAGUCACGUGGGUUCGAAUCCCACUUCAUCCU
rnacentral:tRNA from 1 species